CGUGACGGGGCAGCAGUUCACGUCCCAGCUGAACCUGGUGGACCUGGCUGGCAGCGAGCGGCUGGACAAGUCGCAGUCGACGGGCGAGCGGCUCAAGGAGGCGCAGCACAUCAACAGCAGCCUCACGAGCCUGGCGCUCGUCAUCAUGGCGCUGUCCAACAAGGAGCAGCACAUCCCGUACCGCAACUCCAAGCUCACGUACCUCCUGCAGAACUGCCUGGGAGGGAACUCAAAGACGUUGAUGUUCAUCAACCUCAGCCCUUCGGAGGACAAACUUCUCCGAGACGCUAAACUCGCUACGGUUCG